rnacentral:rRNA from 1 species
UGCCCCUUUAGUACGGCGAGUGAAGCGGCAAAAGCUCAAAUUUGAAAUCUAGCACUUUCAGUGUUCGAGUUGUAAUUUGAAGAAGGUAACUUUGGAAUUGGCUCUUGUCUAUGUUCCUUGGAACAGGACGUCACAGAGGGUGAGAAUCCCGUGCGAUGAGAUGUCCAAUUCUAUGUAAAGUGCUUUCGAAGAGUCGAGUUGUUUGGGAAUGCAGCUCUAAGUGGGUGGUAAAUUCCAUCUAAAGCUAAAUAUUGGCGAGAGACCGAUAGCGAACAAGUACAGUGAUGGAAAGAUGAAAAGAACUUUGAAAAGAGAGUGAAAAAGUACGUGAAAUUGUUGAAAGGGAAGGGCUUGAGAUCAGACUUGGUAUUUUGUGUUCCUUAUUCUUUUUGGAUUUGGUUCCUCACAGCUUACCGGGCCAGCAUCGGUUUGGAUGGUAGGAUAAUGACAUUGGAAUGUAGCUUUGCUUCGGUGAAGUGUUAUAGACUUUGUUGAUACUGCCUAUCUAGACCGAGGACUGCGUCUUUGACUAGGAUGCUGGCGUAAUGAUCUUAAGCCGCCCGUCUUGAACGAGGUAACCAGA